GUCUACGGCCACACCAGCCUGAAUGCGACCGAUCUCGUCUGAUCUUGGAAGCUAAGCAGGGUUGGGCCUGGUUAGUACUUAGACGGGAGAAAACCAUAAGGUGCCAGUUAUCU
ensembl:rRNA 5S_rRNA 5S ribosomal RNA